GAUGAAGAACGUAGCGAAAUGCGAUAAGUAAUGUGAAUUGCAGAAUUCAGUGAAUCAUCGAAUCUUUGAACGCACCUUGCGCUCCUUGGUAUUCCGAGGAGCAUGCCUGUUUGAGUGUCAUUAAUAUAUCAACCUUCUCUUUUUUGAGUUGUUUGGAUGUGGGGGUUUGCUGGCCUCUUAUAUGAUUCAGCUCCCCUGAAAUGCAUUAGCAGAACAACCUGUUCAUUAGCGUGAUAAUUAUCUAUGCUAUUGAAUGUGAGGGCAGUUCAGCUUUCUAACCGUCCUUGGACAAUUCAUCAUUAAUGUGACCUCAAAUCAGGUAGGACUACCCGCUGAACUUAAGCAUAUCAAUAAGCGGAGGA
rnacentral:misc_RNA from 1 species